rnacentral:piRNA from 1 species
UGCUCUGAGACCCAGUGCCAGCACCCAGGU